UAAGGAAUAUUGGUCAAUGGAGGAAACUCUGAACCAGCCAUGCCGCGUGGAGGAUGAAGGUCCUCUGGAUUGUAAACUUCUUUUUAUAUGGGACGAAAAAACAUUUUUCUAAAUGGACUGACGGUACCAUACGAAUAAGCACCGGCUAACUCCGUGCCAGCAGCCGCGGUAAUACGGAGGGUGCAAGCGUUAUCCGGAUUCACUGGGUUUAAAGGGAGCGUAGGUGGGUUGAUAAGUCAGUGGUGAAAUCUCCGAGCUUAACUCGGAAAUUGCCGUUGAUACUAUCAGUCUUGAAUAUUGUAGAGGCUAGCGGAAUAUGUCAUGUAGCGGUGAAAUGCUUAGAUAUGACAUAAGAACACCAAUUGCGAAGGCAGCGUGCUAUACAUAUAUUGACCAUGAG
rnacentral:rRNA from 1 species